ACGUAGGGUGCGAGCGUUGUCCGGAAUUAUUGGGCGUAAAGAGCUUGUAGGCGGUUUGUCGCGUCUGCUGUGAAAAUCCGGGGCUCAACCCCGGACUUGCAGUGGGUACGGGCAGACUAGAGUGUGGUAGGGGAGACUGGAAUUCCUGGUGUAGCGGUGAAAUGCGCAGAUAUCAGGAGGAACACCGAUGGCGAAGGCAGGUCUCUGGGCCACUACUGACGCUGAGAAGCGAAAGCGUGGGGAGCGAACAG
rnacentral:rRNA from 1 species